rnacentral:lncRNA from 1 species
GGGCAGCUUUGCAUCCAUGAGACAACUCUAGGAUCUGACCCCAGGACCACCUGCACACCUAAGAAUGGAUUAAAUUACAACUCAGACACAUCCUCACGAGUGGCUGCUCUCGGAAGAUGCGUGUGCAUAGACCAACCCUGUCCCUCCUUUUCACCCUUCAUGGUUUCACACCAGCCCUGCAGCUGCAGAAUCUCCAUUGGUCUGGAGUAUCGGGGGGAAUGCUCUCUGGUGCAGCACGUGCACUUCACCUGAUGCUUAUGGAAGACACACAGCACACAAGCGCACACUAAUAAACAGGAAAACACCUCCUCUGGGAUUGGCCAGAGCUUCGAAGCAGUGCAGGCAGGGCCUUCCUGACAUUGUGGCAUGGCUUCUGCUUGCUGCCUUCUCCCAUAAAGCAGUGGUUCCUCCGUAGAAAGCACUCAGCAGUGGGUGUACUUUCUACUGUGCCUGGAUCAGGCCCCAGCAAGAACACCAAAGCCUGAUGUUUAUAGAUUGACACCUGCUUCACUCCGACUCACUCCUGUCUUCCUCAGGGAGAGCGCGGAGAACAAGCACAUCUCCCAACACUGAGCCACCCCCACCCUCUUACCUCUUGGUGCUGUGGCAAGCUGUCUUCACAAGAUGGCUGGUAUUCACUUACCCAGAGGCCC